GGCAACUUUUGGUCGGCUAGUUUUCCAUGGAAUUUCCAGCAUUUGUCGCGAACAUGGCCAGGCUUUUUGCAGUGUUCGCACCAAGGCCGACUUUUCUUCCCCCUCAGGUCUUGAGUUCUCGUCGAGAAUGCAGAAGCGUUUUUGACAGAUUAAGUGAGUUGUGCAUCACCCAUCAUCACUCUUCUUCGGCUUUCUUCUCGUCGAAUCUCGGAGAAGACUUCGCAGAUGCUAAGCACCCACCCUCGGAUUUCAUCACGGUUGUUGUUCAAACCCAGCAAAAAUUUGAAAAUACGUUUCUCCUCCACAAAUGACCGAAAAUUUUGACAUCCUCGGGACAGUUCCAUCUCCUUUCUUAGUUGCAAGAUAGAAGAUUAUAAUACUGAGUUACAUUUACCUCACCUUGUCUCAAUUCGUGAAGGGUGGACUCGAUUUCGAAGAUAGCUUAUGUAUUUUCCUUACUGGAGUAGAGUUCUCGAGCUAUCCCCUAAAUUUCCUGCGCAGUUUCGUAGAGAAGGAAAUUUUCUACAAUGUCGGACGUUAUCGAGCUUACGAGCCACGACAUCACCAUACUGUUGUCAAUCUUCCAUAUUCGAGCAUUCGGUUCAUUCGCCAGUGGAGGUAAGUGUUCACCAGUAAGAUACUCUUCGCAACCUUUGCCUCGAAUGAAGAGUAAUAUUGACGAUGAUCACUGAAGGUAAUUGCUAUCAUUCAGCUUAUGCCCAAUGAGGAGUGAUGAGGAUGGUUCAACCAAGCCAUGUCUGGUAGGAGAAUGAUGGUAAGAGCCUGAUGAAAUUUUGGGUGGAGAAGACGG
rnacentral:lncRNA from 1 species